AAGUCGUAACAAGGUAACCGUAGGUGAACCUGCGGUUGGAUCAUUAAAAAAAAGUGCCCACCUUCGGGUGGGUUGGUGGAAUACCAUCCAUCAAACCCCAACUGUGAACCGUUAGCGUCUCUGGCGGCUGAAGGGCGUUGCUUUGUCUUCCCCUUUGAGGACGUUGCCGCCGCGAAAUAUCGUGGAGGCAACGGACGAACCCGCCAACCUAUUUUUUAACUCUGUUAUACAUAUUCGUGGCUUUGUCUGACACUUGUAUUCGACGAAUGCAAACAACUUUUGGCAACGGAUCUCUUGGCUCUC
rnacentral:misc_RNA from 1 species